rnacentral:lncRNA from 1 species
UCUAUGGGGAACAUUACGGGUUCUUUGGUUGCAUCUGCUUUAUUGACCUAUGGUUGGGGUUGGUCCUUUGUUGUGCCUGGUCUUAUAAUUGCUUUUGUUGGCUUGAUCGUUUUUCUCUUCCUCCCUGUUAAUCCUGAAUCUGUUGGCGCUGAUACAAAUGAAGAAGAUGAAUCACUUUCUCCUAAGAAGAUUGGGGAGGGAGUAACAGAGCCCUUAUUGAGACGAGAAACCGAGAUUGCGGAGAAAGCAGUUGGGUUCAUAGAAGCUUGGAAAAUACCAGGGGUUGCUCCAUUUGCUCUUUGCCUCUUCUUUGCCAAAUUGGUUGCUUAUACAUUUCUGUAUUGGCUUCCUUUCUA